UACGAGGGGGGCGAGCGUUGUUCGGAAUUAUUGGGCGUAAAGGGUGCGUAGGCGGUUUGGUAAGUCUUAUGUGAAAUCUACAGGCUCAACUUGUAGUCUGCAUGAGAAACUGCCGGGCUUGAGUAUGGGAGAGGUGAGUGGAAUUCCUGGUGUAGCGGUGAAAUGCGUAGGUAUCAGGAGGAACACCUGUGGCGAAAGCGGCUCACUGGACCAUAACUGACGCUGAUGCACGAAAGCUAGGGGAGCAAACAGG
rnacentral:rRNA from 1 species